UCGGGAAUAUUGCGCAAUGGAGGAAACUCUGACGCAGUGACGCCGCGUGCAGGAAGAAGGUUUUCGGAUUGUAAACUGCUUUAGACAGGGAAGAAAAAGACAGUACCUGUAGAAUAAGCUCCGGCUAACUACGUGCCAGCAGCCGCGGUAAUACGUAGGGAGCAAGCGUUAUCCGGAUUUAUUGGGUGUAAAGGGUGCGUAGACGGGAAUGCAAGUUGGUUGUGAAAUCCCUCGGCUCAACCGAGGAAUUGCAACCAAAACUAUAUUUCUUGAGUGCUGGAGAAGAAAGUGGAAUUCCUAGUGUAGCGGUGAAAUGCGUAGAUAUUAGGAGGAACACCAGUGGCGAAGGCGACUUUCUGGACAGUAACUGACGUUGAGGCACGAAAGUGUGGGGAGCAAACAGGAUUAGAUACCC
rnacentral:rRNA from 1 species